rnacentral:tRNA from 1 species
GUACCUGUAGCUCAGUUGGUAGAGCACCUGACCAGCAUUUCUGUGGGUGCGGGUUCAAAUCUCGGUCUGGUGUG